rnacentral:rRNA from 1 species
GACGAACGCUGGCGGCGUGCUUAACACAUGCAAGUCGAACGGAAAGGCCCUGCUUGCCGGGUGCUCGAGUGGCGAACGGGUGAGUAACACGUGGGUGAUCUGCCCCUUACUUUGGGAUAAGCCUGGGAAACUGGGUCUAAUACUGGAUAGGACCAUGCUGUAGGUGGUGUGGUGGAAAGAUUAGUUUCGGUAAGGGAUGAGCUCGCGGCCUAUCAGCUUGUUGGUGGGGUAAUGGCCUACCAAGGCGUCGACGGGUAGCCGGCCUGAGAGGGUGGACGGCCACAUUGGGACUGAGAUACAGCCCAGACUCCUACGGGAGGCAGCAGUGGGGAAUAUUGCACAAUGGGCGCAAGCCGGAUGCAGCGACGCCGCGGGGGGGAUGACGGCCUUCGGGUUGUAAACUCCUUUCAGCCAUGACGAAGCCCUUGUGGUGACGGUAGUGGUAGAAGAAGCACCGGCUAACUACGUG